AAACUUUCGUUGCAUGUUUGACGUUAAUUAUUAGAGUAAUACAUGAGUAAAAUCUUAUUAAAUGACGUAAUUAUAAUAAAUUAAACACUUAUUGCAAGCUAGCCUUCUUGAACUUUUCGGCAGUACACUUUGUUACAAUAUCAUCGAUGAAUGCUUGGAGAUUCUGCUGGGAUGAGCCACCAUCAGCCACCGCAUCCUCCGCCACUUUCUUCCACUUCAACGCGUUUUCUUUCAUCUCCGCGGCCUUUGCUCCACUCGUCGCCUCCCUCACGCACUUCUCCACUUCCUCUCGUGGAAUGAUUCUAUUUUCAUCCUCACCUCUACAUAAUUGAAUCCCAACUUUAAACACAUCCACUGAGUACUUAGCGU
rnacentral:misc_RNA from 1 species